rnacentral:rRNA from 1 species
UACGUAGGCAGCGAGCGUUGUUCGGAGUUACUGGGCGUAAAGGGUGUGUAGGCGGGUCCGUAAGUACCUUGUGAAAUCCCACGGCUCAACCGUGGAACUGCUCGGGAUACUGCGGGCCUUGAGCCAGCUAGGGGCAACCGGAACAAACGGUGGAGCGGUGAAAUGCGUAGAUAUCGUUUGGAACGCCGAUGGUGAAAACAGGUUGCUGGGGCUGUGCUGACGCUGAGACACGAAAGCCAGGGGAGCGAACGGG